AGUGAACGCUGGCGGCGUGCCUAAUACAUGCAAGUCGAACGGAAUUUAAAAGAGCUUGCUCUUUUGAAUUUAGUGGCGCACGGGUGAGUAAUAUAUAGCUAAUCUGCCCCUUGCUGGAGGACAACAGUUAGAAAUGACUGCUAAUACUCCAUACUCCUUUUUACCAUAAGAUAAAUCGGGAAAGAAUUUCGGCAAGGGAUGAGACUAUAUCGUAUCAGCUAGUCGGUGGGGUAACGGCCUACCGAGGCUAUGACGCGUAACUGGUCUGAGAGGAUGAUCAGUCACAUUGGAACUGAGACACGGUCCAAACUCCUACGGGAGGCAGCAGUAGGGAAUAUUGCGCAAUGGGGGAAACCCUGACGCAGCAACGCCGCGUGGAGGAUGACACUUUUCGGAGCGUAAACUCCUUUUGUUAGGGAAGAAUAAUGACGGUACCUAACGAAU
rnacentral:rRNA from 1 species